UAUAGAUGGCUUGGGAUGAAUAGCAAGCUUUUGGGACAAGCGUCAAGAAUGAGGGUUCAAAACCUUCAUUUUUUC
rnacentral:tRNA from 1 species